CGCAACGGUUCGACGGUUUACGAUACGUAUUAAUAACGUUGCAUUUCGUUUGCGUAUUUGCCCGUUUAGUCGCCUGUUGAUAAAGUAUUCGUGCGACGCACAGAACACGAGUGCGUUAGAUUUAGACUCGGUCCACGUUUGGGUUUUCACUGAGCAGAAAAAAAAACAAAAAAAAACGAAAAAAUCGUUGUUUCGCCCGUCAAAGAACCGCGGAAGCAACAAGUGACUCAUCGGGCAAAAAUAAUUUUAAUUUGUGCUGCAACACAGUUACGAGUAUAAUUACGUAACGGGUCAAAAGUCACUGUUUCAUACACGGAGCGGAGCGCAGUACCUGCUGGUUUUAGUUUAACGUGUGUUUUAUUUUUUAUUUUUAUUUAUUUAUUUUUUUUUUUUUUAUAUAUAUAUAGGUCUGUGAACGACUUCUACCAGAAAUCGUACCUCGGAGUGCGUCACAUUUUCUGAAACGAAAUGCCGUCCGGUUGGUGCAUUGGAAAAGACGUUUUUUUUUUUUUUUUUUUUUGAUUUUCCAAGAGGUUUUUCAAAAUAACCGGAAACAAAAUUGUCGGUAAAACGGCAAAUAUUUACGGG